ACUUGGUGAUGUGGGAAUUUACGUAAGAGGUUCCUAAAACGCUCCCAGGUCUCGAAAAAUAGUUCCCCAUUCACUUGUGAGAAACUAGUGAUUGCUCUCCUAAGCU